AUUGAACGCUGGCGGCAGGCCUAACACAUGCAAGUCGAACGAGUUGCGGACCGGUUAGUAAUGUUCGGGAAACUUCCUGAUGGAGGGGGAUAACUUCUGGAAACGGUUGCUAAUACCCCCUUCCCUUAGUUUUUCCCAGAUGGGAUUAGCUAGUUGGGGGGGUAACGGCUCACCAAGGCGACGACCCCUAGCUGGUCUGAGAGGAUGACCAGCCACACGGGAACUGAGACACGGUCCAGACUCCUACGGUAGGCAACAGUGGGGAAUAGUGCACAAUGGGCGCAAGCCGGAUGCAGCCAUGCCGCGUGUAUGAAGAAGGCCUUCGGGUUGUAAAGUACUUUCAGCGGGGAGGCGUUACCCGAAGAAGAAGCAACGGCUAACUCCGUGCCAGCAGCCGCGGUAAUAC
rnacentral:rRNA from 1 species